CUACGGGACGCACCAGUGGGGAAUAUUGGACAAUGGGGGAAACCCUGAUCCAGCAAUGCCGCGUGUGUGAAGAAGGCCUGCGGGUUGUAAAGCACUUUCGGUUGGGAGGACUGCUUCUAGCACUAAUAUUGUUGGAAGUUGACGUUACCUUCAGAAGAAGCACCGGCUAACUCCGUGCCAGCAGCCGCGGUAAUACGGAGGGUGCAAACGUUAAUCGGAAUUACUGGGCGUAAAGCGCGCGUAGGCGGCUAGAUCAGUCGGGUGUGAAAGCCCCGGGCUUAACCUGGGAACUGCAUCCGAUACUGUCGAGCUUGAGUACAGGAGAGGAGAGUGGAAUUCCACAUGUAGCGGUGAAAUGCGUAGAUAUGUGGAGGAACACCAAUGGCGAAGGCAGCUCUCUGGCCUGAUACUGACGCUGAGGUGCGAAAGCGUGGGGAGCAAACAGGAUUAGAUACCCGGGUAGUC
rnacentral:rRNA from 1 species